UGGGCCGCUGCCACACGAUGCCUUCCUUACCAUGGAAGACUAACUCUGGAACGCCCAGGGACCAGCAUGCUUCCCCUUCCCUGAGUGCACUUGCCCUGGAUCCCAGCUCAUGUCUUCCCAGGCAGACCUUCCUCCUGAGAACAGCACCUGUAUGACAGAUGUCCCCUGGAUUUCCAGGAUCACAUCCAUCCAGUACUGCAUUCUCCGCUUUUCUCCUUAGCACCUGGCACAAAGGGGAAAGAGUGUGUCUGCUUUGACCAAAGCCCCACAUCCCUCUUGGGGCCAGUCUGCAAGCCUUAACUCAGGAGCCUCAGCGUGGGAAGAGUUUGCAAGGCUUUCUGCAACCACAGAAGAGAGACGAAGCCAACACGUGGGAGAAGAUUCAGAAAUGCCCCCUCAAGAGACUGGGGGAAAAAUUAAAGGCAAGAGCAGUACUCAGUAUGUGAUCUGAAUUCUGAUUCAGUAAGAGAUCUAAACACUGCCAUCAAGGCCAGGCGAGACAAGGUGGAGCUGAAAAGAUGUGCUGCAUUCUCGACAAAUCCUAAACUGGGAGAGCAUCUUCCCCGGGCUGUGAGAAGCUCGGGGUUCAGCCCCUAGCACUGAAAACCAAGAAUAAAAAGGGUAUGAGGAGAGGGCCUCUGAGGAAGCUGUGGUGUGGCCGAGCUUGACUGUGGGAAGGGAAUCAUCACUUUGGGCCAGCACUUUCCUCUUCAGCCAAUAGUCUGCUUCAGUUCAGCCAGCCAGCACCCUACACCCACCCACACACGGACCCACACUCCGCCGGCUGCACUGCUGUGUCCUCAGCCACAGUCUCAUGUGGGCCCCAGUCAAGGGCAGAAAAGUGAAGGGGAAGAUAUCGCGGCUUCCUGCUGCUACCUGCUGUUUCUUAGAGAUCCCCAGUGAUAAAGAAGAAAUGAUACAGUACUGUCUAGAAUGAAGAGUGACAGGAGAGAGUUUUAACCUAAACAGAGUGAAGCAGAGGGCAU